rnacentral:misc_RNA from 1 species
UCUCCGUUUGUGAACCAGCGGAGGGAUCAUUAUAGAGUUUUUAACUCCCAAACCCAUGUGAACCUACUAUUUUGUUGCCUCGGCGGGUUCUGCCUCCCAUCUCGGGAGCAGGCUCAAGCCCGCCGGCGGCCCCUUACUCUUUGCCUCUCGCGUUGUCUCUCCGAGUAUCGCAGAAUGCAUAAAAACUUUCAACAACGGAUCUCUUGGUUCUGGCAUCGAUGAAGAACGCAGC